GCAUGGGUUUUAUAUUAAAGAAAUUCGGUAUGAGAUGGGGAUGCGUUCCAUUAGUUUGUUGGGGGGGUAACGGCCCACCAAGACUACGAUGGAUAGGGGUUCUGAGAGGAAGGUCCCCCACAUUGGAACUGAGACACGGUCCAAACCCCUACGGGAGGCAGCAGUGAGGAAUAUUGGUCAAUGGACGCGAGUCUGAACCAGCCAAGUAGCGUGAAGGAUGACUGCCCUAUGGGUUGUAAACUUCUUUUAUAUGGGAAUAAAGUUGUCCACGUGUGGAUUUUUGUAUGUACCAUAUGAAUAAGGAUCGGCUAACUCCGUGCCAGCAGCCGCGGUAAUACGGAGGAUCCGAGCGUUAUCCGGAUUUAUUGGGUUUAAAGGGAGCGUAGGCGGAUUGUUAAGUCAGUUGUGAAAGUUUGCGGCUCAACCGUAAAAUUGCAGUUGAUACUGGCAGUCUUGAGUGCAGUAGAGGUGGGCGGAAUUCGUGGUGUAGCGGUGAAAUGCUUAGAUAUCACGAAGAACUCCGAUUGCGAAGGCAGCUCACUGGAGUGUAACUGACGCUGAUGCUCGAAAGUGUGGGUAUCAAACAGGAUUAGAUACCCUGGUAGUCCACACAGUAAACGAUGAAUACUCGCUGUUUGCGAUAUACAGUAAGCG
rnacentral:rRNA from 1 species